rnacentral:lncRNA from 1 species
UGUUUGUUUGCUAUAUCUUGAAAUGGCCCUGCAAAGCUGUCCUUUGUGAAGGAAAAUUUGCAUCUGUAAAGAAUCUCUAUUAACAUAGCUACACUUUUUUCUUCUAGACCCUCCCAAUCCCAAAGAGAUUAAAAGUCUAGCACCUUUUAAAGAACUAAAUAGAAAACAUUUGUCAUCUAUUAUCUCUAAGGGUAGCCACUAUAAGACUUAAAAAGAACCUUGGUCUCCACAAUCUUUCCUCUUAACCUGAACAUUUCCUUUCUAUGAUCCCAGGUCUGCAGAUAAACUCAACCAAUUGUGAACCAGAGAAAGUUUAAAUUUACCUGUAGCCUAGUAAAUAGCUCCCCCACUCCCCCGCCCCACCAACACACACCAACUCCUGCUUCGAAUUGUCCCACGUUUCUGGACCAAACUAAUGUAUUUCUUAAAUAUAUUUGAUUGAUGUCUCAUGCCUCCCUAAAAUGUAUAAAACCAAGCUGCACCCUGACCACCUUGGGCACAUGUUCUCAGGACCAUCUGAGGGCUGUGUCACAGGCCAUGGUCACUCAUAUUUGGCUCAGAAUAAAUUUCUUCAAAUAUUUUACAUAGUUUGACUCCUUUUGUUGACAAUGAGGACUUAUUAAAACUUUUGACAGAUUGAUCAACGCCCCCAAAAAUCCCAAAACAGGAUCAGUAUCCACUCUACCUGCAUCAUCUCUAGUAUUAUCAUGACUCACUCUAAUGCACUUAAAUAUCCAAGAUCAAAAAGUACCUACUGAGUCAGCAGGUUUUCAUGUUACAGGUAUGUAUCUAUAGAGCAGACCAGUGACAUUCUUGACAAUCUCCAAAUUCAAAACAACAAAAAGACUUAUGAAGAGCAAGGUGCAAAUUGAAAAUAACAUCUCACUGUAAUAUCUGUGUGUAGGUAUAACUAGGCUCACUCACUAAGUUACUUACUCCCUCAUGCAUACAAUGAAGGACAAAUAUAAUUCAAAUUUAUACCUAACAAAACUACAAAAUAUUCCCUGUUGUGGACCUACAAAGUAAUUGGCAAUGGCUGGACAAUACACAAGACAGAUUUUUAUUCUUAUAUAAUUGGUAAGGUGUUGGGGCUCAGAAAUCAAUACCCCAAAAUAUGGCACUUUGUACAUGCUGAAUUGAAAAAGAAUCCUCAAGGUCUUUCUGAUCGUCCCUGAUCCCCCAACCCCAUGCCUCUCUCCCUUAGACUAGAAUGAAGUUGUUAUCUGAAGUUCCUUUAUUUGACUAAAGGCUGGACCUACUAAGGUGAACAAUUGUCUUUUCUUUCCUUCCCUGUUAUCUCAUUAUCAAUGCAGAAAAAAAAAGACCAAGAAUGUAACCACACCUGAAAAUAUCCCUUCACAAGAUAAUGUCUGUCUCAGAAUAAUUUAAAUUCCAAAAAGAACUACUUACGGGUUAAACUAUGUCAGGCCUCUGAGCCCAAGCCAAGCCAUCGCAUCCCCUGUGACUUGCACAUAUACGCCCAGAUGGCCUGAAGUAACUGAAGAAUCACAAAAGAAGUGAAUAUGCCUUGCCCCACCUUAACUGAUGACAUUCCACCACAAAAGAAGUGUAAAUGGCCGGUCCUUGCCUUAAGUGAUAACAUUACCUUGUGAAAGUCCUUUUCCUGGCUCAUCCUGGCUCAAAAAGCACCCCCACUGAGCACCUUGCGACCCCCACUCCUGCCCGCCAGAGAACAAACCCCCUUUGACUGUAAUUUUCCUUUACCUACCCAAAUCCUAUAAAACGGCCCCACCCCUAUCUUCCUUCACUGACUCUCUUUUCGGACUCAGCCCGCCUGCACCCAGGUGAAAUAAACAGCCAUGUUGCUCACACAAAGCCUGUUUGGUGGUCUCUUCACACGGACGCGCAUGAAAUUUGGUACCGUGACUCGGAUCGGGGGACCUCCCUUGGGAGAUCAAUCCCCUGUCCUCCUGCUCUUUGCUCCGUGAGAAAGAUCCACCUAUGACCUCAGGUCCUCAGACCGACCAGCCCAAGGAACAUCUCACCAAUUUUAAAUCAGGUAAGCGGCCUCUUCUUACUUUCUUCUCCAACCUCUCUGUCCCUCAACCACUUUCUCCUUUCCACUCUUCAAUCUCUCCCUUCUCUUAAUUUCAAUUCCUUUCAUUUUCUGGGAGACACAAAGGAGACACAUUUUAUCCGUGGACCCAAAACUCCGGUGCCGGUCACGGACUGGGAAGGCAGUCUUCCCUUGGUGUUUAAUCAUUGCAGGGACGCCUCUCUGAUUAUACACCCACGUUUCAAGGGUGUCAGACCACACAGGGACGCCUGCCUUGGUCCUUCACCCUUAGCGGCAAGUCCCGCUUUUCUGGGGAAGGGGCAAGUACCUCAACCCCUUCUCUCCUUGUCUCUACCCCUUCUCUGCUUUUCUGGGAGAGGGGCAAGUACCCCUCAACCCCUUCUCCUUCACCCUUAGCAGCAAGUCCUGCUUUUCUAGGGGGCAAGAACCCCCAAUCCCUUAUUUCUGCACCCCAACCUCUUAUCUCUGCACCCCAAUCCCUUAUUUCCACACCCCGACCUCUUAUCUCUGCGCCCCAACCCCUUUUCCCACUUUUCUGGAAGGUAAGAACCCCCUGAACCCCUUCCCUCCAUUUCUCUACUCUCUCUUUUCUCUAGGCUUGCUUCCUUCACUAUGGGCAACCUUCCACCCUCCAUUCCUCCUUCUACUCCCUUGGCCUGUGUUCUCAAAAACUUAAAACCUCUUCAACUCACACCUGACCUAAAACCUAAAUGCCUUAUUUUCUUCUGCAAUGCUGCUUGAACCCAAUACAAACUUGACAGUAGUUCCAAAUAGCCAGAAAAUGGCACUUUGAAUUUUUCCAUCCUGCAAAAUCUAAAUAAUUCUUGUCAUAAAAUAGGCAAAUGGUCUGAGGUGCCUGACAUCCAGGCAUUCUUUUACACAUCAGUCCCUUCCUAGUCUCUGUGCCCAGUGCAACUCGUCCCAAAUCUUCCUUCUUUCCCUCCUGCCUGUCCCCUCAGUACCAACCCCAAGCGUCGCUGAGUCUUUCUAAUCUUCCUUUUCUACAGACCCAGACCCAUCUGACCUCUCCCUUCCUCCCCAGGCUGCUCUUCGCCAGGCCGAGCUAUGUCCCAAUUCUUCCUCAGCCUCUGCUCCUCCACCCUAUAAUCUUUUCAUCACCUCCCCUCCUCACACCUGGUCCAGCUUACAGUUUCAUUCCAUGACUAGCCCUCCCCCACCUGCCCAGCAAUUUACUCUUAAAAAGGUGGCUGGAGCUAAAGGCAUAGUCAAGGUUAAUGCUCCUUUUUCUUUAUCCCAAAUCACAUAGCGUUUAGGCUCUUUUUCAUCAAAUAUAAAAAUCCAGCCCAGUUCAUGGCUCGUUUGGCAACAACCCUGAGACGCUUUACAGCCCUAGACCCUAAAAGGUCAAAAGGCCGUCUUAUUCUCAAUAUACAUUUUAUUACCCAAUCUGCUCCCGACAUUAAAUAAAACUCCAAAAACUGGAAUCUGGCCCUCAAACCCCACAACAGGACUUAAUUAACCUCACCUUCAAGGUGUACAAUAACAGAAAAAAGUUGCAAUUCCUUGCCUCCACUGUGAGACAAACCCCAGCCACAUCUCCAGCACACAAGAACUUCCAAACUCCUGAACCGCAGCAGCCAGGCAUUCGUCCAGAACCCCCUCCCCCAGGAGCUUGCUACACAUGCCAGAAAUCUGGCCACUGGGCCAAGGAAUGCCCGCAGCCCGGGAUUCCUCCUAAGCCGCAUCCCAUCUGUGUGGGACCCCACUGAAAAUCGGACUGUUCAACUCACCUGGCAGCCACUCCCAGAACCCCUGGAACUCUGGCCCAAGGCUCUCUGACUGCUUCCCAGAUCUUCUUGGCUUAGCGGCUGAAGACUGACACUGCCCGAUCACCUCGGAAACCCCCUAGACCAUCACAGACGCCGAGCUUCAGGUAACUCUCACAGUGGAAGGUAAGCCCGUCCCCUUCUUAAUCAAUAUGGAGGCUACCCACUCCACAUUACCUUCUUUUCAAGGACCUGUUUCCCUUGCCUCCAUAACUGUCGUGGGUAUUGACGGCCAGGCUUCUAAACCUCUUAAAACUCCCCAACUCUGGUGCCAACUUAGAAAAUACUCUUUUAAGCACUCCUUUUUAGUUAUCCCCACCUGCCCAGUUCCCUUAUUAGGCUGAGACACUUUAACUAAAUUAUCUGCUUCCCUGACUAUUCCUGGACUACAGCUAUAUCUCAUUGCCGCCCUUCUUCCCAAUCCAAAGCCUCCUUUGUGUCCUCCUCUUGUAUCCCCCCACCUUAACCCACAAGUAUAAGAUACCUCUACUCCCUCCUUGGUGACCGAUCAUGCACCCUUUACCAUCUCAUUAAAACCUAAUCACCCUUACCCCACUCAAAGCCAAUAUCCCAUCCCGCAGCACGCUUUAAAAAGAUUAAAGCUUGUUAUCACUCACCUGCUACAGCAUGGCCUUUUAAAGCCUAUAAACUCUCCGCACAAUUCCCCCAUGUUACCUGUCCUAAAACCAGACAAGCCUUACAAGUUAGUUCAGGAUCUCCAUCUUAUCAACCAAAUUGUUUUGCCUAUCCACCCUGUGGUGCCCAACCCGUACACUCUUUUGUCCUCAAUACCUUCCUCCACAACUCACUAUUCCAUGCUUGAUCUUAAAGAUGCUUUUUUCACUAUUCCCCUGCACCCCUCAUCCCAGCCUCUCUUCUUUCACUUAGACUGACCCUGACACCCAUUAGGCUCAGCAAAUUUCCUAGGCUGUACUGCCGCAAGGCUUCACAGGCAGCCCCCAUUACUUCAGUCAAGCCCAAAUUUCAUCCUCAUCUGUUACCUAUCUCGGCAUAAUUCUCAUAAAAACAUACGUGCUUUCCCUGCUGAUCGUGUCCGAUUAAUCUCCCAAACCUCAAUCCCUUACAAAACAACAACUCCUUUCCUUCCUAGGCAUAGUGUGGUCAGAAUUCUUACACAAGAGCCAGGACCACACCCUGUAGCCUUUCUGUGCAAAGAACUUGACCUUACUGUUUUAGCCUAGCCCUCAUGUCUGCGUGCAGCGGCUGCCGCUGCUUUAAUACUUUUAGAGGCCCUCAAAAUCACAGACUAUGCUCAACUCACUCUCUACACUUCUCAUAACUUCCAAAAUCUAUUUUCUUCCUCAUACCUGAUGCAUAUACUUUCUGCUCCCUGGCUCCUUCAGCUGUACUCACUCUUUAAGUCCCACAAUUACCAUUGUUCCUGGCCUGGACUUCAGUCUGGCCUUGCACAUUAUUCCUGAUACCACACCUGACCCCCAUGACUGUAUCUUUCUGAUCCACCUGAUAUUCACCCCAUUUCCCCAUAUUUCCUUCUUCUUUCCUGUUCCUCACCCUGAUCAUGCUUGAUUUAUUGAUAGCGGUUCCACCAGGCCUAAUCGCCACACACCAGCAAAGGCAGGUUAUACUAUAGUACAAGCCACUAGCCCCCCGCCUCUUAGAACCUCUCAUUUCCUUUCCAUCGUGGAAGUCUAUCCUCAAGGAAAUAACUUCUCAGUGUUCCAUCUGCUAUUCUACUACUCCUCAGGGAUUAUUCAGGCCCCCUCCCUUCCCUACACAUCAAGCUCCAGGAUUUGCCCCACCCAGGACUGGCAAAUUAGCUUUACUCAACAUGCCCAAGUCAGGAAACUAAAAUACCUCUUAGUCUAGGUAGACAUUUUCACUGGAUAGGUAGAGGCCUUUCCUACAGGGUCUGAGAAGGCCACCGCAGUCAUUUCUUCCGUUCUGUCAGACAUAAUUCCUCAGUUUAGCCUUCCCACCUCAAUACAGUCUGAUAACAGAUAAGCCUUUAUUAGUCAAAUCAGCCAAGCAGUUUUUCAGGCUCUUAGUAUUCAGUGAAACCUUUAUAUCCCUUACGGUCCUCCGUCUUCAAGAAAAGUAGAAUGGACUAAAGGCCUUUUAAAAACACACCUCACCAAGCUCAGCCACCAAAAAGGACUGGACAAUACUUUUACCACUUUCCCUUCUCAGAAUUCAGGCCUGUCCUCGGAAUGCUACAGGGUACAGCCCAUUUAAGCCCCUGUAUAGACGCUCCUUUUUAUUAGGCCCCAGUCUCAUUCCAGACACCAGACCAACUUAGACAGUGCCCCAAAAAACUUGUCAUCCCUACUAUCUUCUGUCUAGUCAUACUCCUAUUCACCGUUCUCAACUACUCAUACAUGCCCUGCUCUUGUUUACACUGCCAGUUUACACUGUUUUUCCAAGCCAUCACAGCUGAUAUCUCCCGGUGCUAUCGCCAAACUGCCACUCUUAACUCUUGAACUAAAUAAAUAAUCUUUGCUGGCAGGACUAUGCUGAAUCUCCUUAGGCACUCUCUAAUCAGAUGCCCUAGGUCCUCCCAAUUCUUAGACCUUUUAUACCUGUCUUUCUCCUUCUGUUAUUCCAUUUAGUUUCUCAAUUCAUCCAAAACCGUAUCCAGGCCAUCACCAAUCAUUCUAUACGACAAAUGUUUCUUCUAACAUCCCCACAGUAUCACCACUUACCUCAAGGCCUCCCUUCAGCUUAAUCUCUCCCACUCUAGGUUCCCACGCCGCCCCUAACCCCACUCGAAGCAGCCCUGAGAAACAUCGCCCAUUCUCUCUCCAUACCACCCCCCAAAAAUUUUCGCUGCCCCAACACUUCAACACUAUUUUGUUUUAUUUUUCUUAUUAAUAUAAGAAGGCAGGAAUGUCGGACCUCUGAGCCCAAGCCAAGCCAUCGCAUCCCCUGUGACUUGCACAUAUACGCCCAGAUGGCCUGAAGUAACUGAAGAAUCACAAAAGAAGUGAAUAUGCCUUGCCCCACCUUAACUAAUGACAUUCCACCACAAAAGAAGUGUAAAUGGCCGGUCCUUGCCUUAAGUGAUAACAUUACCUUGUGAAAGUCCUUUUCCUGGCUUAUCCUGGCUCAAAAAGCACCCCCACUGAGCACCUUGCGACCCCCCCACUCCUGCCCACCAGAGAACAACCCUCCUUUGACUGUAAUUUUCCUUUACCUACCCACAUCCUAUAAAACAGCCCCACCCCUAUCUCCGUUCGCUGACUCUCUUUUCGGACUCAGCCCGCCUGCACCCAGGUGAAAUAAACAGCCAUGUUGCUCACACAAAGCCUGUUUGGUGGUCUCUUCACACGGACACGCAUGAAACUCUGUUCCUCAAUUCAUUCAUUCUCCCUAGUAAUCAUUUAUUGCCCCCCACCAACAGAAUUUUUCUCCCAUUCCCAUAACCUGCUUUGCCAGAAUCCAAGCCCCCAUUCUUUCAGUAACCUCAAGAUGGUAUAUAAAUUUCUGCACCCCAUUGGGAGUGGAUCUUCAUUUUGAAGGCUCCCAUGUACAUGUUAAAUACAUUUGUAUGUCUUUUCUCCUACUAAUCUGCCUCUUGUCAGUUAUUUUCAGAGAACUUUCAGAGGGUAAAGAAGUUUUCCCUUGGCCCCAACAUUGUUCAGUUACUGAAUACUGAUUAACCAUUCAUUAUAAUUUUUUUAAAAAGACCUUUGUGAAAGAAUAGAAAUAUCCUAAAUACUCACAGUUUGUUUAUUGUGUUGCCAGUGGAGGGUCUUGACUACGAGUUGUCCAGGUCCUUCGCAUUUUAAACAAAUAAUUGAACAAAACGCACUAAGUAGCAGAGGCAUGAAAUGCGGGGAUGAAGCAGCGAAAGCAGGAAUUUAUGAAAUCGAGAAAGCACUCCGCAGGGUGGCAGUGGGCCCGAGCAAGUGGCUUAAGAGCCCAGUUACAAACUUUUCCAGGCUUUAAGUACCCCCUUUGAGGUUCUUAUCGGCUACCCCUUAUCUGGAUGAAAGAUUUGGUCUGUGGCUAAAGGCUGAGGUGAAUUGGUGCCCUAUGCAGAUAAAGGGAUGGUCUCUGGUUGGCCUGCGGCCAGUCUAAGGCACUCUCCUUUCCCAUCUGAGAUGUGGUGGAAGGGGAAGGAUUUUAGGGAGAGUAGCCUUUGAUCCCUUGUUACUAGGCAUGGGGAAAUUGGGUUUUUCUAUUUUGGUUUAGCUUUAAGAAGUUUGUGUUAAUUGGCCUUAGAUUGCCUGCCCCCAGACCCAGGUGUUUUCCUUUUGAUCCAGCUUUGGGAAGUCAGUGCAAAUUGGCCUUAGAUUUCCUGCCCCCAGACCUUGGUGUUAUUUCUUUUAGGAAGUUAGCACAAAUUGGCCUUAAGUUCCCUGUCUCCAGACCCUAUUCUCCUGCCUCAAUUGUACACGUUGAGAUAGACUUCUGAUAUUUUUGUGGCCUAUUUCUCACUGGAGCACACACUUUUAACUUGGUUGCUGUAAACCAAAACUAAAAUUCUAAGCCCCUCAACCAUCUGAAUUGACCUCUCCUCUUGGCCAAGGGAAUUCCAAAGUUAACCUGAAAAACUAGAUCAGGCCAUGAUGGGAAGCUGGGGUUGGAUAUGCCACAUUAUUCCCUCCUCCCUUUUGGAAUUCAGGCACAGCUGACCAGCGUUAACAUUAAAACAGAUCUUAAGACUGACAAAGCAGACUCUUUAUAGCAAUGAGACACCAAAUUCCAGCCUGACUCUAGUAUAGCAUCACAUGAAAGAUACGAGACCCUGAAAUAAGUCAAAGUAUUUUACCCCAAAUAUGUUUCUUUGUCAUAUCUUGAAAUAGUCCUGCAAAGCCAUCUCUUGAGGGGAAAAUAUACAUUCUGAAGAGAAUCAUCUGUCUUUUCCAGGACUUUUUCCUUGUCCAGGAGAGAAUCAACUCUGAUAAGAAACAUUUACAAUCUAUUUUCUCUGAAGCUUGCUACCUGGAGGCUUCCCCUAUGUAACAGGAACCUUGGUCUCCACAACCCGUUAUCUCAAUCCAGACAUCCCCUUCUAUUGAUUCUGGGUUUUUAGACAAUAACUUACCUCUUUCAACCAAUUGCCAAUCAGAAAAUCUUUGAAUCUACUCAUGACCUGGAAGUCCCCCAUUGCUCUGAGUUGUCCCACCUUUCUGUACUGAACUGUUGCAGGAAAAGGGUCCUGAUACAGAUUUCAAGAGAUGGCUCUUGGAUCUUGCACAAGAAAGAAUCUGGGGCAAGUCCACAGAGUAAAAUGAAAGCAAGUUUAUUAAGAAAGUAAAGGAAUGGAAGAACAGCUACUCCACAGACAGAGCAGGGCAUUCUCAAAAGCAAGAGGAGGAACACGCUCACCUUAGGUACAAUGCUUGUUUAUUUAUAAGAAAACAAAGCAAAAAAUCAUGGGAGAGAUGUGCUCUACUACAGGCGCUGUGACAAAGGAUUGUUAAUCUUUGUGUAACUACUGUCUUCUGCAUGAAUACAUUUUAUAAUCAUUAAAGUGAAACUUAUUCUUAAAGUAAGGAUGCUUUUGUUCUUAAGAUAUCGGGACAUCAGGACAUUGCCUUUGUCUGUUAUUUCCUGGGUCUGUUAAGUUUGGGGUCUAUUUUAUAAACAUUAUUAACUUGUUUCCUUAACUAUAAUAUCCUGUGACUAAGAAUGCCUAACCUGCUGGGAAUGUGGCCCAGCAGGUCUCAACCUCAUUUUACCCAGCCUCUAUUCAAGAUGGAGUCGCUCUGGUUGAAAUGCCUCUGAUAGAACCAAUGUACAUCUUACAUAUAUUGAUUGAUGUAUUAUGUCUCCCUAAAAUGUAUAAAACCAAACUGUAGCCCGACCACCUUGGGAACAGCUUCUCAGGCUCUCCUGAGGGCUGUGUCAUGGGCCAUUGGUCACUCAUAUUUGGCUCAGAAUAAAUCUCUUCAAAUAUUGUGCAGAAUUUGACUCUUUUUGUCAGCAGUGCACAUAAUUUAACUGCCCUGAGUUUUUGCAUUUGGAUAUUGUAUCUAUAUUUUUCCCAAAUUUAAACGAUUUACUUGUUCGUUGGUGAAACUGAACUGUUAUCUUAGCAAACAACACUUGGAAAAACCUUUCGUCAAAAUGCCCUGCAUUUUUCUGUGUAGGAAUCCUAUAGGAAGUACACUGUGAAAACUAACAAAAUAUAUUAAGUGACUAUGUUGAAAGAUUAUAUACCUAGUAGAGAGAUCAGGAAAUAUGACAUGAAAAUAUUUUGUUUUUUUAGCUAUGUGUAAAACUGUAAGUUAACAAGAUAAGAUUAAUUUUAAUUUCAGCCUUCUUUAGUGGAGUUGAGGCAUUCCACAUGUUCCAUCAUAGCUGAUCCAGAUACAGAAACUACAAAGAAAUACAGUGCAUAUGAAGCAACCCAAGGUCAGAGGACUUAGGAGAAGAGAGGCAAGCUUGUGAAUAACCAGGACUUUACCAUGAAGAGAGCAACUCACUGUAUUAAGCAAUAUUUAUUGAACCUACCGUUAAAAGAAAAACCUUAGACAAAUUAAAUUUAGCAGAGUUUAAUUGAGCAAAGAAUGAUUCGUGAAUUGGGAAGCCUCUGAACCAAAAUAGGUUCAGAGAGGAUCCAGCCUGCCUUAUGGUGGAAGAAGAUUUGUGGACAGAAAAAGGAAAGUGAAGUACAGAAAUGGAAGUGAGGUAUAGAAACAGCCAGAUUGGCUACAGCUUGCUGUUUGUCUUAUUUGAACAUGGUUUGAACAGUUGGCUGUCCUCUAUUGGCUAAAACUCAGGGACUGGCACAAGAGUAGGUUACAGUCUGUUUACACAUCAAGUUAGGUUAUAGUUCACUGUGUAUGGAGAAACCUUUAAAAUAUGUAAAGAGGUGGCUUUUGGCUAAACUUAAUUAAACACUACUAUGUGAAACAUUGUGUAAUACUGAAUUCUAUUAUAUUCUUUAAAACCUUUCUUCUGCCUUUUUUUUUUUUUUUUUUUUCUGAGACGGAGUCUUGCUCUGUCACCCAGGCUGGAGUGUAGUGGCACGAUCUUGGCUCACUGCAACCUUUGCCUCCCAGAUUCAAGCAAUUCUCCUCCCCCAGCCUCCUGAGUAGCUAGGUUUACAGGAGCCCACCACUGCGUCCAGCUAAUUUUUGUAUUUUUAGUAGAGACAGGGUUUCACCACGUUGGCCAGGCUGGUCUCGAACUCCUGACCUCGUGACCCUCCCACCUCGGGCUCCCAAAGUGCUGGGAUUACAGGUAUGAGAAACUGUGCCCAGCCUCUUCUGCCUUUUUUUAUUGUAGGAAAAUGUAUGUAAAUUUACAUAAAAUUUACGAAAAUUUACAUCAAAAAUUUACAUAACUUAAACUCACCAUUUUAACCAUUCUAAAGUAUAAAAUUCAGUGACAUUUAGUACAUUUACAGUGUUGUGUAAUCAUCACCCCUAUCUAGAUUCAAAAUAUUUCCAUCGCCCUCUAAAACAACUCCCAAGAUACUAUUUGCUCCACUAUUCAGAAAAUAUCAUGCAAAGGAAAUCAAACAAAAUGCAGCCUUUUUUGUCUAGCUUUUUUCACUUAGCAUGUUUUUAAAGUUCAUCCACAUUUCAGCAUGUGUUUUUUUUUUUUUUUAGACAGAGUUUCGUUCUUGUUGCCCAGGCUGGAGUGCAGUGGUGCAAUCUCAGCUCACUGCAACCUCCAUCUCCCAGGGUCAAACGAUUCUCCUACCUCAGCCUCCCAAGUAGCUGAGAUUACAGGCAUUUGCCUCCAUGCCCAGCUAAUUUUGUAUUUUUAGUAGAGGUGGGGGUUCACCAUGUUGGUCAGGCUGGUCUUGAAUUCCUAACCUCAGGUGAUCCACCCACUUCAGCCUCCCAAAGUGCUGGGAUUACAGGCGUGAGCCACUGUGCCCGGCCCACUUCAUUUCUUUUUAAGACCAAAUGAUAUUUUAUUAAAUAGAUAAACCUUAUUUUUGUCUAUCCAUUUAUAAGUUAAUGAACAUUCACUUUUUGACUAUUGUGAAUACUGCUCUUAUGAAUACCUUUGUACAAUGUUUUGGAUUUUUUUCUUUUUUCUUUCUUUUUUUUCCUUUGUGUUUACCCUGUCAGAACUAAGCAGAGGGAAGCAGAAAAAGCAUAGGCCAGGACAAGUUGUACAAGUUUUCGUAUGAACAAAAAGACAGAGAUAACAAGUAUUCGCAAGGAUUUGAAGAAAAGCAAACUCUUAUAAACUCUUGGUGGAAAUAUAAACUGAUAUAGCCAUUAUUAAUAGUAUAGAGGUUCCUCAUAAAACUAAAAAUAGGACUACCAUAUGAUUCAGCAAUUCCACCACUGGGUACAUAUCUAAAGGACAUGAAAUCUGUGUAUCUGUGCUCUUAUAUUCAUUGUAGCAUUCUUCACAAUAAAUAAGAUCCAAACUAAGUGUCGAUCAAUAGAUGAAAAUAUGAUAUGUGUGUGUACAUGUAGUAAUAUGUAUGUAUGUAUGCAUAAUAUAUAUAUAAUAUGUAUAAAUGUCAUAAAUACAUAGAUAUACAGAAUGAAAUGAUAUUCAGCCAUAAAAUAGAAGGAAAUCUUUCCAUUAGUGACAAUGUGGGGAUGAACCUGGAGGACAUCAUACUAAGUGAAAUAAGCCAGACACAGACAAAUACUGCGUGAUCUCACUUAUAUAUGAGGUCUUUUUCUUAACUCAGUAGUUACUUGGUUGCUGUAAACCUUUGUUUAUUUUUAAGAGUUCCAAAAAGGUUGAUUUUCACAGUUCUUGCUCAAUUUUUUCUGAGUUUCAUUGAGGAUAUGAGCCCUUGGAGCUCUCUCCUCCACCAUUUGAACUCUCUGAUCUUUUUGUACAAGUAGCCGAUGGUUGACAAGAUAUGAUCUGGAGGGAGAGCACAAGGAAUGUUCAGAGAUUAUAUGACUUACUUUUGCUUGUACAACAUUUUAGCACUUACGGAGCAUUUUCAUGUGGUGAAUACAUAAAGAAGUUUGCCACAUGUGACCGUCAUUAUAGUUCAUAUUUUUGAAGGUAAAGUCAUCCUUUUUGACAUUAAUAAUGAAGGCUUAAGAGGAAAGUGUGAGUUUACUAGAGAAUCUAUACAUAGAAAAAGAUCAAAAGUCUAGUUAGAUUUGCAUGAGAAUCUAGAGGUAUAAAAAGUAUUGUUUUCGAUUGAGGGUCUCUGGAACCAGGUGCUAAGAUUUGGAAGGGAGGAAAAGGAUGGAGAAUUCACACAGGAUGAAGUCUAACUGUGGUGCAGACCCCAUAAACUUUUAAUCAUUUCCACCAGGAGCUAUGUAGCUUAUGUUUGUCCCAGCGUGGACCAGAAUGAUUGGAAGUUUACACCCAACUUCAGUCACUGCAUAUUCCACUGGAAGCAUAUGACCUCACACGGGAUGAUUCCCUGUGGUUGAGGCACCAGCUAGAGGAGUUGACGGUUAGGGCAACAAGGGUGACAGUUUGGAUGUGUGUCCCCUCCAAAUCUCAUGUUGAAAUGUGAUCCCCAAUGUUGGAGGUGGGGUCUGGUGGGAAUUGUUGGAUCAUGGGGGUGGAUCCCUCAUGAAUGGCUUAGUGCCAUCCCUUUUGUGAUGAGUGAGUUCUCACUCAGUUAGUUCACAGGAUGUCUGGUUGUUUCAGAGUGUGGCAAUUCCUCCUCCUCUCUUUCUUGUUCCCUCUUGCCACGUGAUAUGCUGCCUCCCCAUUUGCCUUCUGCCAUGAUUGUAAGCUCCCUGAGGCCCUAACCAGGAGGAGAUGCCAACAACAUGCUUCUUGUAUUGCCUACAGAACAGUGAACCAAUUAAACCUCUUUUCCUUGUAAAUUACCAAGCCUCAGGUAUUUUUUUAUAGCAACACAAAACAGCUUAAUACAAUAUUCUUCUUUGAAGGCCUUGAAUGACACAUCUUUGAGUCUACCAUAAGUAAAAUUUGUAGUCUGUAUUGUGUACGUGUUAAUAUGGAUGGCACUAUUCCACAUGCAAAUAGCAUUCUGAGGAGAGAUGUAUAAUACAAACUUUAAGUUGAUGUACAGACAUUAAAA